CACUGUGGGUAAGCAGUGAUGGUCACCGUGUAGUCAUUUAUAUUCUUAGUAGAGAUGGUCGGGGGUGCAUUGGUGGCUUCUACUAGCUGACUUAGAGCAGAGAGCUGAUCUGUAGGUGUGUGGGCUUCCUGGGAGCCAUGUCUUUCUCUUUCCUUCCCCAAGAAGCUUCCUUUUCUCUGGGCAGGAGACUCUUAUCCAGAGAGCACUUUAUAAGAAGGGUCCCCAUGUGUCUUACCUGGGAGUCAAGAAAGGCUAUUUAACGCCAGGGGCAAAACUGCACAACAGCCAGGCUGGGGUGGGGGUGGAACAGGACCUCCUCAUUCGGAAGGCCCUGACAGCAGGGUGUAGAGGUUCAGCCUUGAUAUUUGGCUGACAAAGAUGCUCAUUAGACCGGAGAACUGAGCUGUGAGCUCAGGUUGGAAGAUCAAGGCAUUUUAGCGCGGGGAGCGGAGUCCCUAAGCCUAUAAUGUGCUCACUCUUUCUCUACCCCAUGCUUCCCCAAUGAUGUUAGUUAAUAUGGGCAGUCUGAAUAACCUUGUUUCCUCCUUACAUCCAUGCCUAUAAAAGGAGGCUACGUUAUCCCAAUUGCCCAUAAUUCAUCACACCACAUUCCCCUCCAUCUGGAGGCUUAUACAACUGUUGAAAAGUUGUCACUAUAACCUAUUGUCAUUGCAACCUUUUAUGAACCAGCCUACAUUUUUAUGUCAAAAAUUUAUCUUAAUGGCCUCACAGCUCUUACCUCCAAUUAUUCCAGUGUCAUCGACCUCCAGCUCAGCCUGCAUUCCAGCUAAGAUGUGAGAACAAAUUCCCUCUUCAGCUCUCCCCUAACCCUGCACUUAAAAUAGGAGAAAAUCUCCGGGCGAGUGUGCUGCCUUGCCUGAAGUGGUACAUGCCUGCAGAACAUAAGAGGGACCCAAAAGGAAGGCCACGGAACGAGGCACCUGGGCAGCUGAGGUUGAACACAGAGCUAUGCUAGGCAGCCGUGUGGUGGGGUGAGGGACAUGGAAUCUAGGUGCGGGCACAGAGGCCAGGAUCCUGUGUCUUUUAUUUUAAAAUGGCAGACAGAAACACACACUCUCUCUGGCUACAGUAUGGAGGGUACCAGAAGAAGAAAAAAAAACCCACAUUUGCCAUUGAGAGGAGUUCUGGCACUCAUAUUUAGAAGUCAUAUGUUUUUCUAAAAUGCAUCGUCUGUGUCCAGGUAUACACACACACACACACACACACACACACACACACACACACACACAGUUUAGAAUAUAGGCAAUCAUAAUUACUUAUAAUGUAAAAAUCAAUAGUGACUGUUAGGAAUAAUGAUCAUUUACAAUAUGAUGUAUAAAACAUUAUUUUUAAUAUUUUAAACAUACAAAAUAUAUAUUAAGGUAUACUAUAAAUAUCAUAUAUGAGGCUACGCCAUUGCUUUAGGAGUUGAGGAUUCCUGAAAGUGUGGCUACAGAAGCAGACACCCCCUCCCACGACUUGUCCUCUUUGUUAGUGUUGAUGAAAAAGGCCCUGGCUUUCUCAUUUGAAGAGCUCCUUGACAUUUUUUUUUGUAGCUCCUCGUGAAGUCCAUUUUAUUUUCUUCCCUUAAUAGGAAAUGCUAAGCAGCUAAGAACGCACUCAAAGACACAGGCAAGGUAGGGGCGCCCAUGGCCCUGAACCUGCAGCUGGAGGCCAGGCCAGCGUCCCUGAUGCCAGCUUCACUGUUUCAAAUGGAAAUCAGCAUUGCCCUUUUCUCUGCCUCCACCUGCUCCAGGGCCUCAGCUUCAGGAAUGAGCAACCCUGGAACUGGGAAGGAUGCUUGGGAUAAGAGCCAAGGUUUCUUAGGGCCCUUCUCUAAGCAAGCUCGGUGGGUGGACGGUGGCAGCUUCUGAGGGGUGGCAUGCCACACUCGGCAUUUUCAUUCCCAUGCUACCUGUCCCCCUUCCUGUCCCAUGAGCCACCAGACACCUUGUAGUGCUCAGGAUUAGCCAUUGUGGUCUAUCAGGCUCCCCAUACGCAAACUGCAAGUAGGGUAACCCAGGUUCUCAGAACGGUAAGAGGCCCCAGUUCAUUUGGGUAUGGUGGUGUAAGCCUAUUAGCUUAGCAUGUGGGAGGCUGAGGCAGGAGGAUCAUGAGAUCAAAGCCAGCCUGGAUUACAUGAUGGGACCCUGUCUACCAUAUCAAAACAGCAAAGCUGAAGCCUUCCCACGGAUUUGCAGGCUGCGAGUCUCCAUGUGCCUCCAGAGUCGUCUCUGCCGCAGAUGCUGUUACCAGCUGAUACCAGCGAGGGGCAAUGAUCUUUGUGUUCUGUGACUGUGUGGCGCUAAUGGCUCUCAGACAGCCAGGCUUGGCUGCAGAGGUCCUGUGCAUCAUGGGAUGCGAAUUCAAGCAAGGAAGGGGUGUGUGCGCUUGUGCAUGGUUGUGUAAGCAAGUGCGUGUGCUCUUACGGUUCAGGGAAAGUCACUCGAAUUUGUAUGUAUUUUUUGCGUAUGGUAAGCAUUUGCACUUUGUCUGGGAUCGGGUCUGCCCUGAGUUCAAGUUCUUGUAAGGGUCUUUGCCUUACGGAUGAUCCGAUCCAAAAGAAAAAUUCCCCUAACCCUCAGUUUUUCAUCUUAAAAUAGUGGUGAUGAUCACCUGGCCCGCAGGAUUCAAUGCUAAUACGUGCGAGGCACUUACUCACACCUGGCAGGUAGUAAAGAGGCAACAAAUGCCAACCACCGCCACGGCUGCUCCUCUUUACGGCUUCGCUUGCACAGUCUGGUGCUGAUCGCUGCCGAGGAUGCUCUUUCCAGAUCCGCGUCCUCUGGAGCGGCCCGGCCUCCUCUCUCACUGACUAGAGCCUCAUUCUGCACCUCAGAACCCAGGCAAGAACUAUUCCAGAGAGGGUAUAAAAGCCCUGAGCUGUACGGCAGGGGUGUGGAAGGAAGCAGGAGGAGGACUCCAGUCUAUAGAAGAACCUACCUAUCCAUCCAUCUCAGGUCAGGGCUAGAGGGAACCUUGUAGACUCUUGUUUUAGAAAUGGGCAAUAGUCCUGGUGAGUUUGAGACCCAACCUUGAGGAGUUCGCUGCCCUAGUUCUUCAUCUCUUGCUUUCCCUAACAGGGACUCCCUUGUUGGGUUUGGUCCAAAUCUCCCCCAGGAUUUUAGAGCCCCAGUUCUUCCCCUGUCACCCAUUCGUAUGGUCUCAUCUUUCUCAGAGAGCAGUACCCUCUGCUCCUGCUUGCUUGGUGGACUUUUUUUUUUCCCCAGCCGUCAUGCUGUCCUUCCGCUCCUCUGUCUGCCUUUAGGAUAGCUGUGAUGUCUGCUGGAGCUGUCGCCAUAGCUAUAGGUGGCCUUAUUUUGCUCUCUGACCUUUGUUGUGGCUUGUCUAUCUCCAUGGCAGGAUUACAGGGCCUUUGUGGUACGAGGCAGAGUGGCAAAAAUAGUACCUUUGAGGGUGCAGUAGGGGGCACUGUCUCUUCCCAGCGAUGUCAACCUCCUCAUCUGAUCUAUAGGGAAAAUGGCCUACAGAUGCCUGAUUGCAUUUUUUUUUUUUUUUUUGGUUGAAAGUAUCUUCUGACUACUUUAAAUCUGCUUCUGUGCUCCACAAGGACCCCGCCUCCCCAAAGUAGAGUCUCUGUACAAUGGAGUGAGCCAGUCAACUCUCAGUGGUAUUUCACUUCCUGUUUCAGGGGGAAGAGGCUCUUUUGCCCUUAGUCCUGCUGGUUUCUAAACAGUGUAGAGACGCGCUAGGCCCCCAGGCUCCUAGAUGGCUGAUUCAGUCCACAAGUGACUCUCUGUCAGCACCAAGGUAAGGAGGCAGGAAAUCUGAAAGGGGACUAAAGUAUGCACCUGCAAUUUCCUCUUUCUUUACACCCUCCUGGGAAGCUGGCUUCUGAGACAAGUCUUGCUAUUGUGCGUGGGAGAUGCUCUGCCCCCUAUUCAGAAGGAGAUGCCUGACAGCAGUGUGCUCCCCUAAACACUAACUCAUUUCCUCUUCUCCUUGAUGCAGAAGGAUGACUCAGCAUGAGGAGGCCUGCUUUCUGUUUAUACGUAAGCUUUGGUGUGUUCAAGGACAGUUGGCCUGGUCCUUGACAGAUCCCCAGGAGGCUGCCAGUAACUCUGUCUGCUGCUCUCUGACAUGAGCAUGAAGAUGUUCAGGUGAUAAGGAUGUCUCAUCCUCUCCCCGGGGACACAGCUACUAGGAAACAGGCUUUCUGCUUGGAGACUGAAGCUCCCAGGGGCUCGCUGGUAACUGGAAGAGGACUCAAGAAAACCUCUGCAGAAUGAAGCUGGCGCCAUUUAGAUCUAAUAUGCUUUUAAUCGGAUGUUUGCCCUAAGGGACAGCUUCUUGUGUGUGUCCAAGCAGAGGGUACCCGAAGCCCUGGGAGAGCCCCCGAGUGUGAUACUGCUGCCCUGUCACAGGCCUGCUGCCCGGCUGGUGGGUGAGGGCAUUCUAUCAUACACACAGCACAGUUUAAAACACCAAUCAGCAUCUCUUCUCCAUGGCAACCACAAACAGCCUGUAUGUUCCAGAGGCUAUGCUGGCAGCAGACAUAAACCCAGUGGCAUGAAACAAUGUCCUCGUCACAAACAACAUCAAGCACGCAAACAUCUCACGGAUGCAUCUGAGGAGGAAGCUACCUCAGGAAAGUCAUGCGUCGGCAAGGACGGUCAUGGAGUCGCCAUAUGAUUGGGUCACCAUCUCGCCAUGAUCCAAGAACACACAACUUAUUGGUAUGACAGCCUUCCCAACAGAGACGAGAUGGAGAGGCGAAAUGGGAGGGAACGGAGAACCUCGGCAGAGGCAAGCCCAUGAUGUAAGAGCUCAUGAGGUCGAAUGACUUCAGCACAUCUGAAUGAAUUCCCGGUGCUGGGUGACACCGGCCUGCUCUUGUCUAGGUGCUCACCGGCAAACCGAAGUUAGGAAAAGUGAUGGGCAGAGGAAGUCUACCUACCAGGACAUACCAAACACUCCGUCUCUGUUGUGGUAAACGAUGACUUUAAUUUACAAAGCAGAUGAAUACUAAAUCUUCAUGAAAUUAAAAACUAUAUUAUUUAUGUGAGCGGAAACGGAAAAUGUUCCGUAGCUAGCGGCAAUCCCGCUUUGUAGGAGGGACACCAAAAUAAUUAAAACCACUCGUGCUUCAGUAAUAAAUAAUGAUAAUAAAUAAAUGUCCUGACCUUAAGCGAAAAUAUAAAAUUAAAACCCAUUUGGUAUGUAAAUUCAUUCAGGACGAUAGCAAGGCUUCCAGCCCAAGACGGUGUGGAAUGGCAGGAGUGUUCACUACAUGAAUUUUGAAAGGAAAAAAAAAAAUCAAAGAACAACAGCAUUGUAUGUGUAUCAACUCAUUAUCCUACUCUAAUUCCAUCUAAUGCUGUGUGGAGCCUCGAGGCUGGGACAUUAAUUUCCUGCGUUUUCUGUUCCACCAAUUCCUCAUGGAGGGCAGCAGGAAGAAUUGCACUCCUGGAGGCUGAAAUCAGGGGAGGCCAGAACACGGCAGGAGAGGCAGGCAGAGAAUGGGAGGAUCGGAAGGCAGUUUUUGACAUGUUCACAGAGACAAUCGGAAAAGAUAUUGGCACUGCCUGGCAGAGCGCUGGCUGCUGUGAGUUCUGGAGACCUUGGAAUACGGACCAUCCAGCUGGAAUGAAAUGUCCCCAGUCUUGGGUCCAGGGUGACAACAGUUCCAGGGCAGGAAGUCUGAGGACAGUCUUAAUUUGGGGGAAUAUCGAUCGGUUCCAGAUGCAGAUGCCCUUCCCUCUGAUGGCUGAUUGUCCCGCUAUACAGUCUAACUGCUGCGUGUUCCAUGAAGCCUGCUCUUGAAGCCCCACCCUUCCCAGGUCAGGCUAGUAUAGUAACAGGGCGACUGUUACUUGCGCUGGGUGGAAAGCUCGGAUGCUGUCGAUGCCAGGGUCUGAGGCACUUACCAGCAGGCUUCUCCUUUGGACCAUCCUCUAAGGGCUACGACCCACAGCCUCUCAUUCCAAUCUCGUUACUACCUUGUGAGGUAGGGCAGAGGUGGUUGUUUGCCUCUCACAUUUAGGGAAACCGAGGCACUGAGCCCACAGUUGAGGAAAUGGCAGGGAAGGUAUUGGUGCCUUGUAUCAGGCCUGAAUUCUCCUUUAUCAGAGACUUCUAAAACCCUCAAAGGAAGGCUUAUUUAUGGACAAUAAGCAUUUAGGGGAUUACAUGUGUCUCAGUUGCAGCCUGGUUCUCCUGUCCCUUAUAUUUAAACCGAGGUUCCUUUUCUGGAAUUCAGUAUUUCUAAGCUAAGUAGGAAAAAUUGCACACAGGGCCCGUCUUAGGGUUUUACUGCUGUGAACAGACACCAUGACCAACGUAUGUUGUCUUACAAGAACAACACUUGGGGCUGGCUUACAGGUCCAGAAGUUCAGUCCAUUAGCAUCAAAGUGGGGCCAUGGCAGCAUCCAGACAGUUAUGGUGCUGGAGGAGCUGAGAAUUCCACCCCUUUUUCCAAAAGCAAACAGGAGAAGACUGGCUUCCAGGCAGUUAGGGUGAGGUUAUUAAAGCCCAAGCUCACAACAACACACCUACUCCAACAAGACAACAUCUACUCCAACAAGGUCGCACCUCUUAAUAGUGCCACUCCUUGGGACAAGCAUAUUCAAACCAUCCUAGAAUCAUUUUCACUGUGUUUCAAAGUCUGAAUUUUGUGUGUUGAUACAACUAUGCAGGCAGCAGACUCCUUGGACCAUCCUGGCCCUGGCCUCCUGUCUCCUAGUGCCCCCUUAGCACCUCUCCCUCUCACAACUGUUCCAAAGGAGUAGUGGGAUGUACCACUCUGAGAAUCUCUUGUAAGUAUCACGUGUCAAUAAAAAAGCCAAUAGCCAAUGAGCUGAGGCAGGAAAUAGGAGGUGGGACACUGGCAGGAAGAGAGAGGAUUCUGGGAAAUAGAAUAUAAGCAAGAGAUUCACCUGGGAACACUGGGGAGAAGGACGUAAACCAAGAGGGAUCUGAACUUGGGGUAGAAUGGAGAAGAGACUAGGGAGAGAUUCAAGGGAGAGACUGAGAAGACACAAAAAGAGGAGACUCGAAGAAAGAAGCAGUCUGGGACUGAGGGGCAGGUAACUAACCAGGUGGUAGACAGAGAAUAGUUUGAAUGGGUUAAAUAAGUUAGGAGCUGGUCAGGGAAAGUAAGCAAAAGCUAUGACCUAGGCAUUUAUAAUAAAUAAUUGGUCUCAGAGUCAUCAUUCUGGGAGCAGGGGCUGAGAGAAAAAUGGACUUUAUUAUUUUUUUUACACCACCCCACCCUAAGAAAUAGAGACCCCCAAAACUAUGCUCUUCAAGGGGACCCAGGAUCACCCCGGCACGUUGGGGAGACAGGGCCUCAAGGAGAGAGAAGGGUCUGUAUGACCACCCAAAAACGACCAUGUUCAUCUCUGAUGUGGACUGCCAGUCUUUUAGGCGGAGAAGAAUGGAAGAAAUCUAAUCCACAGCCCGCCCACGCCCCCAUGUCUGAAUAACACAGGUUUGUUGUGAAAACUCAGGGCUGUGACUGAUUUUCUGCAUUUUUGAACCAGAGAGUGGAAACCACUGACCAGUCCGGACGCCUCCAUCCGAGGCUCCCUGGGGAUCGGAAUGUUCUUUGUCCAGCCAAGGACUCCUGGAAAUCCCCUUCCACCAGAAAGCUGAAGUAACUUCCAAUUUGGGGGAUGUUAAAUGUCCUCGCCUGCUUCUACCUGGUCAUUUCCCUGUGAUUCCACAAUGAAUCCAAAGGCCAUUGUGCUUGAUUUGGAAAAACAAUGUCCCCGAAGAGUCAGGAGGACUUUAAAUGCGGACAGCCUGGCACAGCCUAACACGUGCUCACUGGGGCCGUGGUCUGAGUGCUUCCCCUCAAGAUCUAGCGUACUCCAAGGCGACAGUGUGUGAAGAUGGGGGCUUUGUUGGUGCUUAUGUCAGGAGUGUGGAGCCUUCCUGAAGAGGAUUAGGACCCUACGCCAGGUUUUGACAUACCCAGGAGGUACCAUAUUGGAAGGAAAGGGCCUCUCUUGAACAUUAACUGUGCUAAUGCCCUGAUCUUGGACUCUCUGGUUUCUAGAAUGUAUGUGAUUUACAAGUCACCCAGCCUAAGAUAUUUUGCCAUAGCUCCAGGGCGUGGCUACCACACAGACAACUCUGAUAUCUGUUAAGUCUCAAACUGACCUCCCAUCUUGGCAUCUCUAACUUCUUUUCCUGGGUUAAUAUUUCAUCUUCCUGAGAGUUCCUUUUUUUAAAAAGAUUUAUUUUUAUUUAAAAAAAAAAUACAUGCGUAUGUUUGUAUGUGUACAUGUAAGCGCAGGUACCCACAGAGUCCAGAAGGGGGCGCUGUGUCCUCUGGAAUUGGAGCUACAGGCAGUUAUGAGGUAUCUAGUGUGGGUGAUCGGGUCUGAACUUGGAUUCUCUACAAGAGCAGUACGUACUUUUUUUGUUUUUGCUUUUUUGAGACAGGGUUUCUCUGUGCAGCUCUGGCUGUUCUGGACCAGGCUGGCCUUGAACUCAGAGAUCCAUCUGCCUCUUCCUUCUGAGUGCUGGGAUUAAAGGCGUAAGCCACUAUGUCGAACUACGCAGUAUGUAUUUUUAGCUAGACUUGGCUUUUUUUUUUUAAAAUCGUAUCUGUCUCUGUGUAGUAUCAAGAAAGUACAAAGGCAGAGGCUUGGUUCCAUUCCAGUUCUUAAUGCCCAGUAAAAGGAGGAGAUGCCUAUGUAGAGUCCGCAUAAACAAAUGAACGUUCUCUUAGAGCUCCACCACCCUUCCCCAAAUAAAGAACACUUCGAUUUGCUGCUCA